rnacentral:rRNA from 1 species
UACGUAGGGUGCGAGCGUUGUUCGGAGUUACUGGGCGUAAAGAGUGUGUAGGCGGUUUGCCAAGUUCGGUGUGAAAUCUCCCGGCUUAACUGGGAGGGUGCGCCGAAUACUGGCAGGCUAGAGUGCGGGAGAGGAGAGCGGAAUUCCUGGUGUAGCGGUGAAAUGCGUAGAUAUCAGGAGGAACACCUGCGGUGUAGACGGCUCUCUGGACCGUUUCUGACGCUGAGACACGAAAGCGUGGGUAGCAAACAGG